rnacentral:rRNA from 1 species
GACGAACGCUGGCGGCGUGCUUAACACAUGCAAGUCGAACGGAAAGGCCCCCACCUUGGUGGGGGUGCUCGAGUGGCGAACGGGUGAGUAACACGUGGGUGAUCUGCCCUGUACUUCGGGAUAAGCUUGGGAAACUGGGUCUAAUACCGGAUAGGACCAUGGUUUAGUGUCUCAUGGUGGAAAAAUUAUUGUUUUGGUGCAGGAUGAGCUCGCGGCCUAUCAGCUUGUUGGUGGGGUAAUGGCCUACCAAGGCGUCGACGGGUAGCCGGCCUGAGAGGGUGGACGGCCACAUUGGGACGGAGAUACGGCCCAGACUCCUACGGGAGGCAGCAGUGGGGAAUAUUGCACAAUGGGCGCAAGCCUGAUGCAGCGACGCCGCGUGGGGGAUGACGGCCUUCGGGUUGUAAACUCCUUUCGUUAGGGACGAAGCCACACCUUUUUGGGGUGUGGUGACGGUACCUUUGUUAAGAAGCACCGGCUAACUACGUG